UGACAGCCAGUAUUUGAAUAGGAACCUGUUUGUUUCGGGUGAUCAGGAUUAAUUGUUAAUAUUCUCUUGGAGGGAACUGGGACAACCUCAGCUGACAAGCCUUUGAUUUGGAUGUCAUGGGUGGAACUCAUCAACAAGCUGAAAGCAUUCAUCUGGGAACACUUUACACUUCUUACGAGCAUGUCCGAGGAAGUGGGGGCUGAGACUUCACCUUGUAGAAACUCUUGCAGAAUUUUGAUUAAAAGCAGUCUCUGUUCAUAGUGAGAAAAUCUGGAUUUGAAUUCUGAUCCCACCACAUGCGAGCUCCUUGACCUUAGAUAAGUUAACCUGUGUCUCAGUUUCCACCUCUGUUAUCAGG
rnacentral:lncRNA from 10 species